UUCCUUCCCCCAGCCUCCUCCAAACGGCUCUGAUUAGCGUUAAUGAUAAUUCUCAUUAAUCACCUUGGGCUGCUGCAGAUGGAAACGCGGCUGUGGCGAGGUGACAGGAGCCACUUAGGCAGUAUUUACGACUUGUGAGCGCGGCGGCUGCCCGGGCCCUGACACCUCUGGCCCGAGGCUGACAUCAGGGCUGACAUUUGGAGCUGCUGGCUGCCCGGCACAGGGGUGCCCCCAGCCCGGGGCCCCUCCUCCUACACGGGGUGGAGGCUCCCUUUCGGGCUGAUGGUGAAGGAAGGGGCCUUCAGAGUGUGGGCAGCCUUCUCCCGGAGCCAAGGAGGAAGAAGCAGGAGGGACACUUGUAUCUGCCAGGAGCCCCCUCCUUCCUUCCCAAGCAGAGCACCCGCUUCCUCUCCCUGACCUCCCGGUGGGGGUCAGCUGCUCUGGUCUGUGUCCCCGUGGAGCUCGGCAAAGACUGGCCCAGCCCAGUGGUAGGCUGGAUCACACUCUCAGGAAUGAAGACAUCUGGGAAUGACACUUAAGACCCCGCCCUGGGAAAAUCUAAUUGCUUCACUGAGGAGCCAAGCUUCCUCCUGUGAGGCCUACGGUGUGUUUCAGAGCCUCGCCUGGAUUCCUCGACUCUGAGCUGUCCCAGGCUGCCAACCCAGAGGUUCCUUCUGCAGCGGGAGGAAUUCCCCACAGAUGAAGCCUCCCCUCGGACAUUUAAUUAAGGACGACGCGGCAUGUCUAGUUCACAACCCGGUGGCCAGAGUGCCCGAGCCACAUCUUGUGCAGAAAGUGAACCCUUCUGAAGCCAGGGUGGCUACAUGGUGGUGGGUGCCCUCUCCAGCUCAGGGCCGAACCGCCUCUGCUGGGAGCCGAUUCGCAGUCCAGGAGCCCAAAGGACAGGGAGAUAGGAGCCACCACGACCCAGGUAAAUGCCCCCCACUCAGCUGUUCUCAGCCUCUGCUUCCCACUGGGGACCUGUGCCCACUGGACAGGGGCCUGCCCACCACAGGGCACAGUGACCCAGUCCCUGAACAGAGAGAGGGGCUCAGGGUCUGGAAGGAUCUGCUGCUUUCAGAAGUAACCAGCCGCCAGUGUCUGCAAGUCCGUCAAGCAACGUCCCCCUGGACGCAUGUCCCAGGCCUGCCCACAUCUGGUCAUCAUUAUGAUGCUGUGUCCCAGACGACGAGAUAAAAGAUGCGUUUGAUUCAAAUAUGUG